rnacentral:rRNA from 1 species
UACGUAGGUGGCAAGCGUUGUCCGGAUUUAUUGGGUUUAAAGGGUGCGUAGGCGGUCCUAUAAGUCAGUGCUGAAAUAUCCCGGCUUAACCGGGAGGGUGGCAUUGAUACUGCAGGACUUGAGUAAAGUUGAGGUAGGCGGAAUUGACGGUGUAGCGGUGAAAUGCUUAGAUAUCGUCAAGAACACCGAUAGUGAAGACAGCUUACUAAACUUUAACUGACGCUGAGGCACGAAAGUGUGGAGAUCAAACAGG